rnacentral:lncRNA from 1 species
AGACAUACAUACAUGCCUACACACACACACACACACACACAUGAGAACAAGCGAAAAUAAGGGAUUGCAUUUCUCGGUGAGCCUAGAGCCAAACAAAGAAACUUAAAGAACAAAGAGGAAAAGGGUGCGCAGUGCAGCAACAUCUGCUACCUUGAGAGUGAGCCUGGGUUUAUAAGGCCUGAAAAAUAUUCCAGAGAAAAAUGACUUUAAGUUAAAUGCUAUGUGUUAGCAAGGGUUAGGAAAGAUAUUUAGGAGAAAAUUAACUAGAAAAUGUGCAAAUGAAGAUUAUAGGCAAGCAUGGAUAUCACCUUUUACAUAAUAGGAAUUCCAAACAGAAGUUAAAACUAAGAGCAAUUUUAGGUAAAACAUAUGACAC